CAGCCAAGGGAACGGGCUUGGCAGAAUCAGCGGGGAAAGAAGACCCUGUUGAGCUUGACUCUAGUUUGACAUGGUGAAAAGACAUAAGAGGUGUAGAAUAGGUGGGAGCUUCGGCAACAGUGAAAUACCACUACUCUUAUUGUUUUUUUACUUAUUCAUAAGCGGGGCUGGACUUUUGUCCAACUUCUGGUGUUAAGGUCCUUCGCGGGCCGACCCGGGUUGAAGACAUUGUCAGGUGGGGAGUUUGGCUGGGGCGGCACAUCUGUUAAACCAUAACGCAGGUGUCCUAAGGGGGGCUCAUGGAGAACAGAAAUCUCCAGUAGAACAAAAGGGUAAAAGUCCCCUUGAUUUUGAUUUUCAGUGUGAAUACAAACCAUGAAAGUGUGGCCUAUCGAUCCUUUAAACCCUCGAGAUCUGAGGUUAUAGGUGCCAGAAAAGUUACCACAGGGAUAACUGG
rnacentral:ncRNA from 1 species